ensembl:rRNA 5S_rRNA 5S ribosomal RNA
CUCUAUGGACACACCACCCUGAGGAUGCCCAAUCUUGGAAGCUAAGCAGGAUUGGGCCUGGUUUGUACUUGGAUGGGAGAAAGCUCAGGCUGUAUGCC